rnacentral:rRNA from 1 species
UACGGGGGGGGCAAGCGUUGUUCGGAAUUACUGGGCGUAAAGGGCUCGUAGGCGGCCAACUAAGUCAUACGUGAAAUCCCUCGGCUUAACCGGGGAACUGCGUCUGAUACUGGAUGGCUUGAGAUUGGGAGAGGGAUGCGGAAUUCCAGGUGUAGCGGUGAAAUGCGUAGAUAUCUGGAGGAAUACCGGUGGCGAAGGCGGCAUCCUGGACCGACAUUGACGCUGAACGGCGAAAGCUAGGGGAGCAAACGGG